rnacentral:rRNA from 1 species
UACGUAGGGUGCGAGCGUUGUCCGGAAUUAUUGGGCGUAAAGGGCUCGUAGGCGGUGUGUCACGUCGGCCGUGAAAACCUGCAGCUUAACUGUGGGCGUGCGGUCGAUACGGGCAUCACUGGAGUUCGGCAGGGGAGACUGGAAUUCCUGGUGUAGCGGUGAAAUGCGCAGAUAUCAGGAGGAACACCGGUGGCGAAGGCGGGGUCUC